CCUUUGACAUGUACGGAAUCCUUUAGAGAUGAAGGAGUGCUCGAAAGAGAGCCGUAACACAGGUGCUGCAUGGCUGUCGUCAGCUCGUGUCGUGAGAUGUUGGGUUAAGUCCCGCAACGAGCGCAACCCUUGCCAUUAGUUGCUACGAAAGGGCACUCUAAUGGGACUGCCGGUGACAAACCGGAGGAAGGUGGGGAUGACGUCAAGUCCUCAUGGCCCUUAUAGGUGGGGCUACACACGUCAUACAAUGGCUGGUACAGAGGGCUGCCAACCCGCGAGGGGGAGCUAAUCUCAUAAAGCCAGUCGUAGUCCGGAUCGCAGUCUGCAACUCGACUGCGUGAAGUCGGAAUCGCUAGUAAUCGCGGAUCAGAAUGUCGCGGUGAAUACGUUCCCGGGUCUUGUACACACCGCCCGUCACACCAUGGGAGCGGGUUCUGCCAGAAGUAGUUAGCCUAACCGCAAGGAGGGCGAUUACCACGGCAGGGUUCGUGACUGGGGUGAAGUCGUAACAAGGUAGGCGUAGUGCU
rnacentral:rRNA from 1 species